UGUUCCUCCCGGCUUCCCGGUGCCGGCGCGAUUCGUCGGCCUGCUAACGAGCUUCCAAGUGAGGGGCGCUUCGACGGACACCAUACGCUGCCCGCAGUUCACUCCUCCGCCACCUACUCGCUCCUGGUGACGAGGCGUUCCUCCUUGCGGCAGCGCGCUAGGUCGACCUGCUUACGAGCUCCCAAUGGAUGCGCGCUUUGUUGGGUGUUGGCCUACUCGUGAAGUCCCAACGGUGGCUCCCUGCGACCCCCUGCCCCUGGAACUUCUACCUGCAGAGUGUAGUCGGUGGGAAGGAUGUUGUCUGUCGGAUAUAAGCAAAGCAAGGAAGGAGCGGGCCGAGGAAAUUGAUAAGAAGUGUACAAAUAUGCAUCAAACAUUCUGCUUUUCAAAGAGCAACAAAGAAUAUUUUGAUCACUGAAGAAGACCUACGAUGCAGGCCCAAGAUGGAAAGGGUGGCCGUGGGAACUAUUCAGCACGCCGAUCACGCAAUUAUAAUGGUAUAUGCUGAGAAGUUACAUAAUUUUCCAGAAGAUUGACAUGGAUUUGGUUCUAAAUGCACGGACUGGUCUUGAAGCAAGGUCGAUCAAGACACUGUACGAGUGUUACUGUGUCACAAGGUCUAUUGGAUGGCCAUUUAGCUAGAAAAUAUACCAGAGGGGGAGAAACCAUGAAACUGGCGGUUCACAUCAAUUGGAUUUUUCGUGUAAAGGAGCAAACUAUGAAUUGCCAGAUACAUCCUUUAGCUAUCACUUUGUAAACCUCUAUGGUGUCUUAGGCACUGGACCAUAUUGUUUCCUCUAUUUUAGUUACCUUUUAGUAUAUGAGAAGUACUUCUGUACGAGAAUUAAUUAAAAUGUUUGGUUCUGGUUUGAUAA